rnacentral:rRNA from 1 species
AUUGAACGCUGGCGGCAUGCCUAACACAUGCCAGUCGAACGGGUGAUGCGAGCUUGCUGCUGCAUUCAGCGGCGAACGGGGGAGUAAUGCCUAUGAAUCUGCCUUGUCGUGGCGAAUAACGUCCUAAUACCGGCGCUAGUACCGCGUACGUCCUGUUGUAGACAUUGGGUGGGCUUCGGACCUCACGCUAUCAUAUUAGCAUAGGUCGCUUUAGCUAGUUGGUGGGAUAAAGGCCUACCAAGGCUACUAUCCGUAACUGGUCUGAGAGGAUGGUCAGUUAGCCUGGCACUGAGACAGGGCACAGACACCUAGAGGAGGAAGCAGUCGGGAAUCUUGGACAAUGGGCGAAAGCGUGAUAUAGCCAUGCGGGGUGAGUGAAGAAGGUCUUCGGAUUGGAAAGCACUUUAAGUUGGGAGGAAGGGAAGCAAGUUAAUCCGUUGCUGUUUUGACGUUACCAAGAGAAUAAGCACCGGCUAACUUCGUG